UGUGUUGUUGGGUAGGGGAGCGUUCUGUAAGCCUGUGAAGGUGUGUCGUGAGGCAUGCUGGAGGUAUCAGAAGUGCGAAUGCUGACAUAAGUAACGAUAAAGCGGGUGAAAAGCCCGCUCGCCGGAAGACCAAGGGUUCCUGUCCAACGUUAAUCGGGGCAGGGUGAGUCGACCCCUAAGGCGAGGCCGAAAGGCGUAGUCGAUGGGAAACGGGUUAAUAUUCCCGUACUUGGUGUUACUGCGAAGGGGGGACGGAGAAGGCUAUGUUGGCCGGGCGACGGUUGUCCCGGUUUAAGCGUGUAGGUGUGUGUUCCAGGUAAAUCCGGUUCACUUUAACACUGAGGCGUGAUGACGAGGCACUACGGUGCUGAAGCAACAAAUGCCCUGCUUCCAGGAAAAGCCUCUAAGCAUCAGGUAACAUCAAAUCGUACCCCAAACCGACACAGGUGGUCAGGUAGAGAAUACCAAGGCGCUUGAGAGAACUCGGGUGAAGGAACUAGGCAAAAUGGUGCCGUAACUUCGGGAGAAGGCACGCUGACACGUAGGUGAAGUGAUUUACUCAUGGAGCUGAAGUCAGUCGAAGAUACCAGCUGGCUGCAACUGUUUAUUAAAAACACAGCACUGUGCAAACACGAAAGUGGACGUAUACGGUGUGACGCCUGCCCGGUGCCGGAAGGUUAAUUGAUGGGGUCAGCGCAAGCGAAGCUCCUGAUCGAAGCCCCGGUAAACGGCGGCCGUAACUAUAACGGUCCUAAGGUAGCGAAAUUCCUUGUCGGGUAAGUUCCGACCUGCACGAAUGGCGUAAUGAUGGCCAGGCUGUCUCCACCCGAGACUCAGUGAAAUUGAACUCGCUGUGAAGAUGCAGUGUACCCGCGGCAAGACGGAAAGACCCCGUGAACCUUUACUAUAGCUUGACACUGAACAUUGAGCCUUGAUGUGUAGGAUAGGUGGGAGGCUUUGAAGCG
rnacentral:rRNA from 1 species